rnacentral:pre_miRNA from 1 species
CAGCUGUGGGGCCACUGAAGGCAGGAUCAGUGAUGACCUCCACCAUGGCAUGGUCCCCUCUCCUCCUCACCCUCCUCGCUCACUGCACAGGUGA